rnacentral:tRNA from 1 species
GGGGAUAUAGCUCAGUUGGUAGAGUGCUUGCCUUGCAUGCACAAGGACCUGGGUUCAAUCCCCAGCACCA